rnacentral:lncRNA from 1 species
GGUCUCUGCGUAUAAAUAAAUCCUAAAGGCUUCAUUAAACAGAAAUUCGGGCAUCGAGCAUUUGCUGCGACCAUUUUUCCGCAACCAAUCAUUGCGAACUACUUGCCGGGCCGGGAACCUUUGCGUUAUGCUUAUGGCUAGCAGUUCGCAAAUUUAUGCAACAAUUAGCUACUACGCAGGACGUUUGAGCAGGCGCACUCAACAACAAUGCUGCUGCGGCGCCCUGGCUUUGCCAACACCCCCUUAGGCGAUGAAAUCCAUAGCACACAUUGAACGCCUUGCAUCCGACCCCUUCGUGCGGUUCAACUGCCUCCCGCCCACAGUAACUGAGGGUCAUGGGAGCCAAUCACGCUUGCAUUGCCGACAGCAAGAAUGUGGAGCCCUCGGGCCCCCUCACAAGGGACUUACCUGAGAGCGUAGAAGGAAGGGGUAAAAUGCACGCUACUACUUUUUGCGCUGGGCUGCUUUCACCCCUUUUAUUCCCCUUCCAUGGGUGUCCUCCUUGCAUAAUGGGCUGGGUUGGGGGUUGGGCCCCAGCAGUGUAUGAACUCAUAGGGUCCCCGCCUUAUCAACUUAAGUAGGACUUAAGACGCAAGCGCUCUUGGGCAGCCAGCUUGGAUGCGCAGGAGGUGCAGAGGUCUAAAUAACUGAAAAUAGAUUACAAGGCUAAUAUAUAAGACAUUGCACGUGGACUCUUAUUCUCUGUAAAGGGCGCGAGCAAGCACAUCGGGAUGGAGAUAUGACUAAGUAGUUACCAGAGCGUAUCCCAAGCAUCUUCGCAGCAGUGUACCUGCAAGCAGGAACUGCUGGCAGAGCGCGGUCUUGCGGGAGCUGCUUGCAUGGCCACGCUCCACCAGAUUCCCGCUUCAAAAUCCCGGCAUGCCAACUGGGCGCUGUCCUGCUGCCACAAGGUGCCACAUCCCAGCCACUUCGCAGCAAACCGGAAAUUCAUGCACUUGAGAUGUAGAGAUGCAGCUAUUUGUUUUUAAGAUUUGGUUUGUGUUCCUUUCGUAAGGCCAAGACGAGCCAGGAGGCUCAUAAACUAAAAAAAGGAAAAACGGAGGGAAAAUCUCUAGACUUAAUAAACAAAUUACGGUAGUCACUGGAUAAACGACAGGUGCAUCCUUAACAACCGAGUAUCGUAUCAAACGCCUUGGAAAACAAGCUUCGACUUCUCGAAGCGAAGUAUGAGUGUAGAGAUAGGCAAGUUAUUGCGAAGGAACUGCCGUGGUGCGUGGAAGUAGGGCGCAUGCAUGCAUGCAUGUGCCGGACCGCAGUACGGCAAGGGACGCCGAGCUCCUACUUGGGUCCCACAGGCGCAUUGGUUCUUUAACUGCCGUUGUUUUGACUAUUACCAAGAGGUGUGUCCCGCUGCUGGGACAGUGUCCUCUAGUUAUGUGUUGCACCGUCUUUUCUUAGCAAUACUAGAAUCGAAUGUCGGCUAUGGAAAUUGGCGCUGCGGGCGCAGAAAGAUUAGUGCUCACUCCCGAAAUGCGGGCCCUCUUCGAACAGCAGCUAGCUGAGGAGCGCGAGUUAUUUCGCCAGCACUCACAGCUUACUUCGACCGGAGGCUGAAGGAGCACGAGGAGCUAACCCAGCUGAUGUUAGCUCAGCCCGAAGCGAUAAUCUUUUACAAUGUGCGGAGCCGCCGGCCCUUAGCCAGCCACCCGCAAUUACGCGGAUCCUGGGCCUUGGUGAAGGUUGUGCGCGUCGCUAUUGAGCGCAUUAACUUAAUUUGAACAGCAAUGGCGGAUGAUGCGUCCGAAGAAGGUCAGGCGUUGCUGAAAGCUGUCACGUGGUUAACCAACCUCCGCUAUUUAGCUUCCAUUGCCGCUAGGAACGCCACCAUACAUUAGGAGUUCAAAUCCGUUAUGAAAUGUUGUUAUCUUGAGUUGUGAAUUCUAAUGCGUACCN